GCCGCGGCGCGACGGGAAGGCAGCCGCAGAUUGGACAGGCGCGGUCCCCGCACGAGCUGCCUGCCCCCGGCCGCUCUGUUCCCUUCCAGGGCAGCCGCCGCCGCGGGAGGAGGGGCUACGGCCCUGCGCCUGGGGCUUCCCCUCUCCCGAGGCGCAGCAGCAGCGCCGCAGCUGGGCGCACCCCGGGAGCGGGCGGCGCCGCUGCACGCGCCCCGUGUCUGCCUUCCCAGCCCGGCGGGCAGGUGUUGCCGCCACCCGCUUGAACCGGAACCGUUUUUGCAAAGGCAGCCUGGGAAGCUGCGGUGCCGCCGCCGCCGCGUGCGCCGGGGGAGUGGAUCCAGCCCGCUCCUGGGGAGGCGGAGGAGGAGCGCGGCCGCUCCGCCGCUGGCAAUGGGGCUGUGCAUGCCCCAGGCUUAGCCGGCCUGUGCCCUGCCUGCCAGGGCAGGAUGAUUUAGCAGCUGCGCCCUCCGCUCGGCUGGACGUGCUCGGGGCACGGCUUCUUGGAUGAGCCGCCGCGGGGAUCAGCCAGGGAGCGCGGCUGGAGGGAGCAGCCGCCACCGCCUCUUCCUCUGCUGCUUCUUGUUUUCUCCGCUGCUGCCCAUGGCUUCUCGCCCCCGCCAGUGACGGGCUCCCCCUGCAUCCUCCCGCGCCUGGCCCGGCGGCGAAGGAAGAUGGGGAACACCACCUCCUGCUGCGUCUCCUCCAGCCCCAAGCUACGCAGGAAUGCCCACUCCCGGCUGGAGUCCUACCGCCCGGAGCCCGAGCUGAGCCGCGAGGACACGGGCUGCAACCUGCAGCACAUCAGCGACCGGGAGAACAUAGACGAUUUGAACAUGGAGUUCAACCCAUCAGAUCACCCACGGGCCAGCACAAUAUUCCUCAGUAAAUCUCAAACAGAUGUGAGAGAAAAACGCAAGAGUCUCUAUAUAAACCACCAUCCUCCUGGGCAACUGAGAAGGAAAUACAGUUCCUGCUCCACUAUUUUCCUGGAUGACAGCACAGUCAGUCAACCAAACCUCAAGUAUACAAUUAAAUGUGUAGCUCUUGCAAUAUAUUACCACAUAAAAAACAGGGACACAGACGGAAGGAUGCUCUUAGAUAUUUUUGAUGAAAACCUUCACCCCCUUUCGAAAUCCGAAGUGCCACCAGACUAUGACAAACACGACCCAGAGCAGAAACAGAUUUACCGCUUUGUUCGGACGUUAUUCAGUGCUGCUCAACUGACUGCUGAAUGUGCCAUUGUCACCCUGGUAUAUCUUGAAAGACUGUUAACUUACGCAGAGAUAGAUAUUUGUCCAGCAAACUGGAAGCGAAUUGUACUGGGUGCAAUUCUACUGGCAUCCAAAGUUUGGGACGACCAGGCAGUGUGGAAUGUGGAUUACUGCCAGAUCCUGAAAGAUAUCACAGUUGAGGACAUGAAUGAGCUGGAGCGCCAGUUUCUUGAGUUGUUGCAGUUCAACAUUAAUGUUCCCUCCAGUGUUUAUGCCAAGUAUUAUUUUGAUUUGCGUUCCCUGGCAGAAGCAAAUAACCUGAGCUUUCCUUUGGAGCCCCUCAGCAGGGAAAGGGCAUAUAAACUUGAGUGCAGGUGCAAAGCAGCUCUAAGGCAGUAUAGCUGGUCAUAAGAAGAACAACCCAGAGGAGGGGGACCCCACAGUGAUGUAGACCUGGUGUAAUGGCUCUUGGACUAUGCGCACAUCCUGUGACUGGGAAAAGGGGGACGUGACUGAGGCUUCCCUGCUGUUUGACAGUCCCUGGCUGCCAUAAUGGACCCUUAGAGACAUUGGCUAUCUCUCGCUUGUGUGAAGAUAAGUAUAAAGACUUCAGGAAAUCUACAAAGAAGCGGUCAGUUAGUGCUGACAAUCUGACUGUGGUUAGAUGGUCCCCUGCCAUCAUCUCCUAACUAUGGAAUCUGGGAUAUUUCGACAGAAGGACUGUUUCAUCCAUCCAAAUUUUUUGGAGUGUAAUGGGGGAAAGACAAGACUUUGGGGUUUUUACUUUUAGAUCCGUCAAGCUGCCUUUACAGUGCCUCCCCCUUGUGUAGCACAUAAGAAUAAAAAAUUGAGAGGAAGGAGAAAUCAGUACAGUAUACAGGAGAGGAGAUUGGAAGCAACUCUCUCUCUUUUUUUUUUUUUUUGGUCACUAUUCCUCACAGCUUUUUCUGAGGAAACAGCUAGUUAAAUGCUUGGAAGAGGAAACAAAAAAAAAAAAAUGGAGUAGAGGCAGAAGGAGAUUAGGGGACUGUGCCAUUUUUUUAAUAUUCUGUACUCUUCAGCAGAAAUGACGGCAUGAAACCAAACCACAUGAUAAGUAUGGCUGUGCACUAUAGGAAUGGAGUUGAAUUAUUUCAUCUUAAAUUAUUCUCCAUAGUAUCUUCUCUUUUUUUUUUUUUUUCCUGCUUCUCUGGGUUAUUUUUCCAGCUCUUCUGCACAGCAGCAAAUACAAAGUCUGUAUCUACAGUAGCACAAACCUCUGAAAAAAUAGUAUUGGUGGGUUUUUUCAUUGCACUUUUCUCCGUGAGCUGACUUAUUUGCAUUAUUCUUCAUAAUCGUUAUGCAUAUGUUAUGUUUUAUAUUCCUUUUAUUGUACUUAAAAAUAUAACUUGACCAUAGUGCUGAACCAAAAGUUUAUACUAAGAUCAGAUGAUCAUUCGUAAUUUCAUUAUGUAGUUUAUUUAUAGUAUAUGUAGGUGUGUGUGCCUUCCUGGAAUCAUUUAUAUUUCCUUAAUAUAAAGACAGGAUUGUGGAAGGAUUCAGUGAUGAUGAGACUUGGGCCAAAUUGUUGAAAUUUCCAUCAGAUCUUGUAGUCCUUUUUGCAAAUUUUCAUAGCAUUAGAAGUUUAGAAGAAUUCUAUAUAAAAGAGAGAGUUUUUUGUAGGGCCCAGCUAGUUCAUUCCUUCACCUCCAGAUCCAUUGUUGCAAGCAAUAGCCUCAAUUUUUAUAUGUUUACUUUAAAUCAAAGUUAGUUUGUUUGUAUAAAAUAAAAAACUUUAAAAAAAAUUGUUCCAGUGAAAAGGUUCAUAGAAGAGCAGAAUAUUAAUCAUUACCAAGGUAUUGUCACAGGUAGAUUGAAUUGGAAAAAAGAAAAAAAAAAAAAAAAACCUUUCAUUUUUCAGUGUAGGUGCUUUCAGAAAUUUAAACAAAAUUCAAACUGUGAAGACCAUUUUCUGCUACGUUGAUUCUUGUACUCUUCUGUUGUUAUUGGUUUCCUUCUCCUCUUGUGCCUUUUCCCUCAUGAGAGACACAAGAACCUUUUAUAUCAAAUAAUGUAUCUAUGUAAAAACAUUUGUUUGCUCUAUAAUGCUCGUGGGUGUCUGAUUUUAUGAAGAUUUUUUGCACAUUUUAGAAAGAUACAGUUGAAAAAUCUGGGUUCCCUGAAUUUUUUUUCCCCAAGUUUCCUUGAAGUGAAUGGCAGCAGACUUCCUGUAUUUGACUUGCUUUAUGCACUACUCCAGUAAAUGAUAGUCCAUAUUAGUUUUAUUAAGCCCCUUAGGGCUUAUAGCAGACAUACGGGCUCAUGGAUACAUGUUCCACUCCCAGUGCAGUGCUGAUCAGAUGCCUUGAAAGUGGAGAGGCACUGAAAGGAUUGCAGUACUAAUACCAGAGUUUUCUAUUAAUAUUCUAAAGUGAUAUGUAUAGUAUGAAACAUUAAAGUCUUGCCCAUAAAUUCUCUUAAUGUCUUUCAGGGCAUUAAAAGUAAUCUAAUUCUCAUCCUUUAUCAUUGUGCCAAUGCAUCAGAACUGUGAGUACCCAGGUCCAUUUCUUUUCCUUGAACAUCGAAUGUAAAGACCACUCUUGAAAAUAGAAAAAAUGUAGAGCAUUUGAAACUCAAUUCAAAAUAUAGCUAAGGGGGCAUUUUCUUAGCAUUUGGACUUUGAGAUCCCUGCCAAGCAUAAAUUUAGGUUUUACCGAUCUGUAAAAUGAUUUGUUUUAUCAAAACUUUGCAAAACAAUUUUCUGUUAACUUUAUAGCAGGAAUAUUAGUUUUAUCCAUAUUUUUUCAGUGAUAGAGAUAUGAACUCUGAACUAUGUAAAGAUCUCCGUGCAUCUACUAUAAUUUUUGUGGAGUUUAUUAAACUACUUUAAAGAUUGUAUAGUCUAUUUAUUGUAUGUAUGUACAUACAGUCUGAUUUAAAAAAAAAAAGUGGAUUCCGUAAAACCCGGCUCAGUCACGUUUAGACUAUUGAAUAUUGUUUUAGCCUUGUGCACUGGACUCUACCUCUGUAUAGGAGAAUUUUCCAUAUCCUUAAUUAGUACUGAUUCUGUGAUUAACUUGGUUGUUUCUUGCACUAAGAAUUAAAAAAAAAAAAAAUCUG